rnacentral:rRNA from 1 species
CAUGCAAGUNGAACGGAAUUAGUUUUCGUAGCAAACGGGUGAGGAAUGUGCGAAAUUUUGCCUUUUAGUUUAGGAUAAAGUGGUUUAUUAAAGCAUUAAUACUAAAUAUUUUUAAAGAUUGUUAGUUAAGUAAACAAUCGCUAAAAGAUAACUUUGUACAAGAUUAGGUAGUUGGUAAUUUAAUAGAUAACCAAGCCAAUGAUCUUUAGUUGAUCUGAGAGGAUGAUCAACCACAUUGGAACUGAGACAAGGUCCAAGCUAAACUUUUGGCCAGCAGUAAAGAAUAUUGGACAAUGAACGAAAGUUUGAUCCAGCAAUACUAUUUGAAUGAUGACGGCUAUAAUUUGUUGUAAAGUUCUUUCAUUAAAAGUGAGAAUGACAAUUUUAAAGAAGAUGAAGUCCCGGCUAAUCUCGUGCCAGCAGCCGCGGUAAUACGGGAGGGGCAAGCGUUAUCCAAAAUGAUUGGGCGUAAAGUGUCUGUAGGCUGUAUAGUAAGUUAUAAAUCAAAUCUCAAAGCUUAACUUUGAACUAAUUUAUAAUACUGCUUUACUUAGAGUUUUAUACGGAAGAGUGGAUUUCAUAUGGAGAGGUA